CGCCGCGCAUGCGUAGCGGAGCCCAGAGAGGGCGCAGCCCAGCGGGAGAAAGUGGGCAGGGCCGACCGAAAGCUUGGCCAAUGAAAAGCCUCCGCCUCCACAAGCCUGCCUGCGGCCAUUUUGACUACUGGCAAAACCCUGCGAAGCAGACGGCUCUUGGAGCGGGAUGGGUGUGGACACUGGCUCUUCUUGGUAAACCGGACGGCGCAUUCCAGCUAGAAACUGCCUGAAGCUGCCCAUGGAAGCUACUGACCAAGUUUUGUUGAAUCAAUGGGUUUCUUCUUGUAUGGUUGACAAGCCUGGGUUCAAGGCCUACACGUUAUGGCAUAGUGGCUGCCUCACCUCAGUGGUUUUAUUACCUUCCUUGGGAACCUUGGUUUCCAAAGUUUACCUCACUUGGCAAUUGAGGUAAAGUGAAAGUGGACACACAGCACUCAUCUUACUGCUUACAGAUCAUAUAUUUCUAAAGCAACGACUUGGCUGUCAUUUUCAUAUAUUCAUACACAUUGAAUUCAUGUCCCGGUCGAGGCACUGAGGGCAUAAAAUCUAAUGAAACCACCCUCACCCAAGCCGAGCUAGUAAGCUGGUGAGCCUCUCAAGGACUUUUAAGUCUGCAUUGCGUGCAUCUGGGAGCAUUAAGCAAGAGCUUUCUUUGCAUCCUGCCUCUCAUCUCUUCUACCUCCCCAACUCCACCCCUGUCUAAUCCGAGAGUAGACAGUUCGUAAAGGAAAGGAGAAGCCAGAGUAAUUAGAAUAGGCAAGUAGGAGUUAUGCCUCCUGCCUCACCUACAGGAGUAUUUGGAAGAUUAGUCCAGAAUCUUUCAGAAGUUGCUCUUGGGACAGACCUUUCUAAUAAUUCAUCACUCAGAAUCUGCAUGGCACUGUGUGCCUCUCAUCAAAGCAGUACCAUUAAGAAUUAAGAAACAACAGACUUAGUUUGCCCUUUGGUUACUCCAAUGCAAAACUGGUUACCAUCAAGCAAAAACUAUUAUGAUUUCAGCAAACUAAGUCAAGUAAAACUAACCACGCAACUCUUGAGUUUAGUCAGAGACUGUCUCAUAGGCUUAGUACACAAUAGUAUAAAACAUCCUCUUCCAAUGGUUGGUUGCAUUUUAUUUUAUAUACAUUAUAUAAUAAAAUAGAUUAUAUAUAUAUA